GAUGAACGCUGGCGGCGUGCCUAAUACAUGCAAGUCGAGCGAAUGGAUUAAGAGCUUGCUCUUAUGAAGUUAGCGGCGGACGGGUGAGUAACACGUGGGUAACCUGCCCACAAGACUGGGAUAACUCCGGGAAACCGGGGCUAAUACCGGAUAACAUUUUGAACCGCAUGGUUCGAAAUGGAAAGGCGGCUUCGGCUGUCACUUAUGGAUGGACUCGCGUCGCAUUAGCUAGUUGGUGAGGUAACGGCUCACCAAGGCAACGAUGCGUAGCCGACCUGAGAGGGUGAUCGGCCACACUGGGACUGAGACACGGCCCAGACUCCUACGGGAGGCAGCAGUAGGGAAUCUUCCGCAAUGGACGAAAGUCUGACGGAGCAACGCCGCGUGAGUGAUGAAGGCUUUCGGGUCGUAAAACUCUGUUGUUAGGGAAGAACAAGUGCUAGUUGAAUAAGCUGGCACCUUGACGGUACCUAACCAGAAAGCCACGGCUAACUACGUGCCAGCCGCCGCCGUAA
rnacentral:rRNA from 1 species